CACUGUGGAAGCUUUGUUCUUUUGCUCUUUGCAAUAAAUCUUGCUACUGCUCACUCUUUGGGUCCACGCUGCUUUUAUGAGCUGUAACACUCACCGCGAAGAUCUGCAGCUUCACUCCUGAGCCCAGCAAGACCACGAGCCCACCGGGAGGAAUGAACAACUCCAGACACGCUACCUUAAGAGCUGUACCACUCACCGCGAAGGUCUGCAGCUUCACUCCUGAGCCAGCGAGACCACGAACCCACCAGAAGGAAGAAACUCCGAACACAUCUGAACAUCAGAAGGGACAGACUCCAGACACGCCACCUUAAGAGCUGUAACACUCACCGCGAGGGUCCACGGCUUCAUUCUUGAAGUCAGUGAGACCAAGAACCCACCAAUUCCGGACACAGUGCUGAGAAUCAUGCCUUGAAAUCUAGCAGCUCUGUUAAAAACUGAGCAAGGUGUACUUCGGGGUUGUGUUGAGAAGGUUGGUGUUCAGCUAAAUCAGGAGGGAAGGCCAAGGAAAAUCAGGCUUGGCACCUGUCAACAGCUUGUUUUCAUUUCCUUUCCAAUUUAAGAAUGUGUUUAACAUUCUAUCCCAGACAAUGUGAUGGUCAUGAAGUCUCUGUCAGAGAGGAAAGAGGGAGUUAAUCUAUAAUGAAGAUCAACAGUGAAGAGGAAAGGGGUCUUCCCUGGAACGCUUCAGUCAUAUACGACAUUUUACACAACAAUAAUGGACCUGUGUAAGGAGGUAUGUGUGGGAGAAGAUUCCAGAAGGUCUUGAGACACUCCAGAUGAAGGUUGGUGUGGGGCUGUGCUGCUGGAGCACCAGAGAGUGAAAAGAGGUUAUCUCCCUCUGUGCCAGGCCAGAGUGCAGUGGUGCAAUCACGGCUCACUGUAGUCUCAACCUCCUGGGCUCAAGAGAUCCUCCCACUUCAGCCUCCCAAGCAGCUAAGACUACAGUUAUUUUAUUCUUAUGAGCUUGUGGGCUCCAUCUACCAACCUCUGGGCAAAUGCUCAUCUGACUUCCAUAGACACACAGCAAGCAGACAACCACACAAAGAGGAAGAGGGAGAAUAUUUACCAGCCAUGGAACAUCUGCUCUGUGCUUAUAUCUCAUAUGCAUUAUCUCUAAUUAUCAAAAGAAGACAUGUCCUUAACCUUGGCACAACAAAUCUCUAAAUCGAUUGAGACCUGUCUCAGAUACUUCUUGGUUUACAAGAUGGAGGCUGAAAUUAAAGAGAAAGAUCCUCACUCAACUCACAGAGGAGCAGAAUGGGAAGAGGACUUAGUGAGAAUUCCCUGAACACAGGAGAAAACCGAAGCCCAGAGAGUGGAUGGCCAAGUCCAAGGUCACACAGCCAAGUGCAUCCGAGCAGCGCAGGAUCCAGGUUUCCUGCCCCAGUGCUCUUUCUGCAGCCCAUGCCACCUGUUUUCAUGCUAUCUCAGUUCACCUUCCAGCUACACACCUGCAAUCAGAAACAGAAAGUCUGAGAGUGUGUGUGGAGCCAAAGAGGGGACAGCAGUGGUUAGAAGCAAGGCACAAGUCAUACCUACAUUCAAGGAGAGGGGACCAUGCAAAGGAUAAACUGCAGAGAGACAACAGAUUUACAUCCCAGACACAUUCACACUGGGCCAAGAGCAGCUGCCAUUGCAGAUUCGAGUCACGUCCUUUUUUCCUUCCUUCUCCUUCUUGGAGUUACAACAGAAGCUGGGGAGGUGAGAGUGCAGGACGUGGAUGAAGCAGAGAGGCACGUGCCUGUCUCAUUCGCCUCUGGAUCUGCUGCAUCCAGGACUGUGCCAGCACAAAGUGGGAGCCCGAUAAAUAUUUAUUGAAGAAAUGAAAGGUGACAAAAGGCAGAAGGAGGGAGACCCCAAAAAGAGGUAAAUUUGGUAUCUUAGCAAGUGGGUGACUACCACUGUCUGGGGGAAAGCUGAUACACGAGGACUUGACAAU
ensembl:lncRNA TCL6 T cell leukemia/lymphoma 6